UACGAAGGGGGCUAGCGUUGCUCGGAAUCACUGGGCGUAAAGCGCACGUAGGCGGAUUGUUAAGUCAGGGGUGAAAUCCUGGAGCUCAACUCCAGAACUGCCUUUGAUACUGGCGAUCUCGAGUCCGGGAGAGGUGAGUGGAACUGCGAGUGUAGAGGUGAAAAUUCGUAGAUAUUCGCAAAGAACACCAGUGGCGAAGGCGGCUCACUGGCCCGGUACUGACGCUGAGGUG
rnacentral:rRNA from 1 species